GCAAACACCAAUUUUCUUUCCUCUCACCUUGUUGUAAGCAAAAAAAACACACACACAAGAAGAACCCUAAAUCCGUCUCAUUUCUCGAAGUAAGAAGGAAAAGGAGAUCGCAAGUUAGUUAAUAUCUUCAUUUCUAAGGACUAAGUGUUCUUACAAUGGCAAAUUGUGCAGAUGGAAUAAUGAUGCUGGUAGAUAAUGAUAAUGAGGAAUUUGAAAAUCUUUAUAAGGAAUUCCAAUCUUUAAUGUAUAAAAAAAAACUGAAUCUGAAUCAGAAACUGAAUAUCCAGAUAUAACUGGAUCUUGUUUUCCCACUAGUUUGGGGUUCCAAUUGGGACAAGAGGUUCUUCUCAUAGGAGAUCCAACCAAGGUACAACGAAGGAAGCAAAUUGUAUAUGCAGUCCAUGCAGAAUGGGAUUUGGAGUGCACCAACUUGUUGAAGUUUUUAAACUUUAUUAUUCCAUUAGAAAUGCAACACAGUCCAAUUUAUUAUGCAGAAAUGGUGGUAAGAUUUAUAAGAAAGGAAACAGGUUGCUCAAGAGACCAACAUUGGGCAGUUUUAAUUGGAGGUUCUGAUUCUGGUUCUCUGCCUCGGUUAUGGCUUGCUUGAUAAGACUGGGAUUUCAGCUAUAAAAGAAAGAACAAGCAUUGGAAACUAUAGGCAUCUUGUGGAUUUUGCAUUAAAUAGAAGGAACUUUAAAUCAGAUAUGACUGUGAAUGCGGUUAUUGAUAUUUGCAAAUAUGUUCGUGUCAUCAUAAAAGACAACACUACGUGUUCUAAUGUGCCUGAUAUACUUAAAAGUGUUUAUCUCUCACCUUCACCGAGUAUAUCGGGCAACAGUUCCCAGCCAUCUUCAACUCUUGAUCACGAUGAUCUGGUAACUGCAUUCAGUAAGGUGUCUACAAGUGGUGAUUCCUCAGAAAAUGCUGCUAAUCCAACAAGGUGAAAGAAGAACCUGCCAGCAUUGAAGUGGCAUAUCCGAAAGUCGUGAAGAAGCCAAGGAGGCACAGCCAGAAAAAAAAAACUUUCAACAACAUUCUUAUCGAUGGAUUUAUAGAACUCUUAUACUACUUCGUAUGUUUAAUUGAAAUGCCCUAAGAACGUUCGGGUGGAGAUUGUACCGAUACGGAGAUGGAGAGUGAACUGGCAGCAAACGAGAUGUUGGUGUUGGUCGAUGGUAUAUUGCAGUCUAGUAAGAAUUGGUAGGAAUGAUUGAGCUGUUGCAAUCGGUGCAAGGAGAGAUUGGAGUAAGAAUGAAGGGGUAAUUUCAAGUAUAAAGUAGUGCGGUACGUGGUUUCAUUUCAUCAUCUUGUGGAUGGAGCAAAGAAGAUACUUGGUUUAUGGAUUUGUGUCUUGAUUAGAUUGUGUUGAUUAUUUUUUUUGAUACUAAUUUUAAUGGUGAAGUUAUGUGUCUCUUGAAUUAUGUUGAUUAAUGGUGAAGUUCGGGUGGAAUUAAGUUUGGGGGUGCCAGCAUGGCUUCGUUCUCUCGAAUUGGUGGUUGCCUGGGGUUCUAUCUAGAUGAGUUUUGCAAGCUAAUUGAAGACGAAUUGCAGAUGCAAGAAGGUGUUUACAGGGAGUUUGGUACUGUUGGUUAUGAAGCUACAAAAUGAAUUUAAUGCUGCAAUGGAUGCUUGAAUCCAUGUUGGUUAGGCUUGGUGUUGGCGAAUGGUGUUUACAGUGAACACAACAACAAUUUUGGUCCAAGAGUUGGCUGAAAUUGAUUCAAUCAAUGUGAUUUUAUAUGGGAUUCUCGGUUUAAAUGACAUGGUCUGUAUGUUACUACUGAAUUUGGGCAGUGAGAAGACGGCAAGAUGUUGUUGUUGCCGGAUGAACUCGACGCAGUCUAUCUGUUCGGUGAAAUGCUCCAAAGAACACACGAACUAUAGGGAGAUGAUUGAAAGGCGUAAAUGUCUUUUACUAAACUGAACUAUUGCCACCUAUGCACUAACGGUUGUUAACUAUUUUUUGAAAAAAACCGGAUGAAAAAGGUCAAAUGUGUGGCACUAAAUAAAUUCUAGAAAAAACUUUC